GGCGGUGUAGCUCAGUUGGUUAGAGCACUUGGUUCAUACCCGAGAGGCCAGAGGUUCGAUUCCUCUUUCCGCUACCA
rnacentral:tRNA from 1 species